AGGCCUAACACAUGCAAGUCGAGGGGCGAGCACAAGGAGCGAAUCUGAGGUGGCGACCGGCGCACGGGUGAGUAACACGUAUGCAACCUGCCUGUAAGCGGGGAAUAACCCGUUGAAAGACGGACUAAUACCGCAUAAUACUAAAUUACUGCAUGGUAAUUUAUUUAAACAUUUAUGGCUUACAGAUGGGCAUGCGCAUGAUUAGCUAGUUGGAGAGGUAACGGCUCCCCAAGGCAACGAUCAUUAGGGGUUCUGAGAGGAAGGUCCCCCCACACUGGUACUGAGACACGGACCAGACUCCUACGGGAGGCAGCAGUGAGGAAUAUUGGUCAAUGGACGAGGGUCUGAACCAGCCAAGUCGCGUGCAGGAAGAAUGUUCCCUAUGGAUUGUAAACUGCUUUUGCAGGGGAAUAAAGUGCAUCACGUGUGAUGUUUUGUAUGUACUCUGCGAAUAAGGAUCGGCUAACUCCGUGCCAGCCGCCGC
rnacentral:rRNA from 1 species